CCGUUCGGGUACAAUUGAGACAGGUGGUGCAUGGUUGUCGUCAGCUCGUGUCGUGAGAUGUUGGGUUAAGUCCCGCAACGAGCGCAACCCUUGUGUUUAGUUGCAAACAGGUCAAGCUGUGCACUCUAGACAGACUGCCGUGGACAACACGGAGGAAGGUGGGGAUGACGUCAAAUCAUCAUGCCCCUUAUGAUCUGGGCUACACACGUGCUACAAUGGCCGGUACAACGGGCAGCGAAGGAGCGAUCCGGAGCGAAUCCUAAAAAGCCGGUCCCAGUUCGGAUUGCAGGCUGAAACUCGCCUACAUGAAGUUGGAGUUGCUAGUAAUCGCGAAUCAGAAUGUCGCGGUGAAUGCGUUCCCGGGUCUU
rnacentral:rRNA from 1 species